UAUUAAAAUUUUCAUCUAUUUUUAUUGUUAAAAACUUGCAUGGAUGACAAAAUAUCAAGAAAGUUACAUGUGAGUCGCACGUCUAUCUUAUUUUGAUUCUGACAUAUAUAGAUCAAUUUUUAAAAAUAAAAAUGAAUGAAAUUUUUAAUA
rnacentral:pre_miRNA from 1 species